GGGGUCCCCUCUCAGUCGUCUCUUCUCGAGGCUGAACAGGCUCAACUCCCUCAGUCUUUUCUCUAAAAGAACUGCCUCCAAGGCCACCCAGGCACGGCCCCUUGGCGAGGUGAAGGUGUCACACAGCGAAACAAACACGGGAGCAUUGAACCAUCAGUCUCUGUCAGCCAGCGAGUCCACAAUCUCUGCAAAACACAAGGAUGGCAUUAACCGGCACAGAGGAUUUGUGGUAGGCUUGUUUGGAUUUUUUAAACAGAUGAGAAGAUGGCUUUCCCUCACUGAUGACGACUGGGACACGGAGUCACUCUCUCCUUGGGCCAGCACAAACGGGCAGGGAUUAGCAGGGGACAGGCCUGAGCAGACAGCACAGCCCAAACAGAAGUAGCUGUGUUUAUGGAAACACCCUUGUGAACAUCUGCAAUAAACUAUAAAUAUCCUUCCAGCUCAACACCACACAGUGGUAGGUGUUGGAUUAUGGUCAUAUUAGGGUAA